rnacentral:rRNA from 1 species
GAUGAACGCUGGCGGCGUGCCUAAUACAUGCAAGUCGAGCGAACGGACGAGAAGCUUGCUUCUCUGAUGUUUGCGGCGGACGGGUGAGUAACACGUGGAUAACCUACCUAUAAGACUGGGAUAACUUCGGGAAACCGUAGCUAAUACCGGAUAAUAUUUUGAACCGCAUGGUUCAAAAGUGAAAGACGGUCUUGCUGUCACUUAUAGAUGGAUCCGCGCUGCAUUAGCUAGUUGGUAAGGUAACGGCUUACCAAGGCAACGAUGCAUAGCCGACCUGAGAGGGUGAUCGGCCACACUGGAACUGAGACACGGUCCAGACUCCUACGGGAGGCAGCAGUAGGGAAUCUUCCGCAAUGGGCGAAAGCCUGACGGAGCAACGCCGCGUGAGUGAUGAAGGUCUUCGGAUCGUAAAACUCUGUUAUUAGGGAAGAACAUAUGUGUAAGUAACUGUGCACAUCUUGACGGUACCUAAUCAGAAAGCCACGGCUAACUACGUG